rnacentral:rRNA from 1 species
ACUCCUACGGGAGGCAGCAGUGAGGAAUAUUGGUCAAUGGGCGCAAGCCUGAACCAGCCAUGCCGCGUGCAGGAUGACGGUCCUAUGGAUUGUAAACUGCUUUUGUACGGGAAGAAACACUCCUUCGUGAAGGAGCUUGACGGUACCGUAAGAAUAAGGAUCGGCUAACUCCGUGCCAGCAGCCGCGGUAAUACGGAGGGGGUUAGCGUUGUUCGGAAUUACUGGGCGUAAAGCGCGCGUAGGCUGACUAUUAAGUCAGGGGUGAAAUCCCGGGGCUCAACCCCCGGAACGGCCCUUGAUACUGGUAGUCUUGAGUUCGAGAGAGGUGAGUGGAAUUCCGAGUGUAGAGGUGAAAUUCGUAGAUAUUCGGAGGAACACCAGUGGCGAAGGCGGCUCACUGGCUCGAUACUGACGCUGAGGUGCGAAAGUGUGGGGAGCAAACAGGAUUAGAUACCCUGGUAGGAUAGCGU